GAUGAAGAACGCAGCGAAAUGCGAUAAGUAAUGUGAAUUGCAGAAUUCAGUGAAUCAUCGAAUCUUUGAACGCACAUUGCGCCCGCCAGUAUUCUGGCGGGCAUGCCUGUUCGAGCGUCAUUACAACCCUCAGGCCCCCGGGCCUGGCGUUGGGGAUCGGCGGAGCCCCCCGUGGGCACACGCCGUCCCCCAAAUACAGUGGCGGUCCCGCCGCAGCUUCCAUCGCGUAGUAGCUAACACCUCGCGACUGGAGAGCGGCGCGGCCACGCCGUAAAACACCCAACUCUUCUGAAGUUGACCUCGAAUCAGGUAGGAAUACCCGCUGAACUUAAGCAUAUCAAGCGGAGGA
rnacentral:misc_RNA from 1 species